rnacentral:rRNA from 1 species
CAGUCGCCGCGGGAAUACGAAGGGUGCAAGCGUUACUCGGAAUUACUGGGCGUAAAGCGUGCGUAGGUGGUGGUUUAAGUCCGUUGUGAAAGCCCUGGGCUCAACCUGGGAAUUGCAGUGGAUACUGGGUCACUAGAGUGUGGUAGAGGAUAGUGGAAUUUCCGGUGUAGCAGUGAAAUGCGUAGAGAUCGGAAGGAACAUCUGUGGCGAAGGCGACUAUCUGGGCCAACACUGACACUGAGGCGCGAAAGCGUGGGGAGCAAACAGGAUUAGAUACCCGCGUAGUCCCUGUCUCUUAUAC